rnacentral:misc_RNA from 1 species
GCAAGAGGUCUUACAAAAUUGGUUAUACACAAAUGAACAACAUCCAUCUUACAACAAUACAAAAAUGAAGUUUUUUCAGUGAUAAAUGUACAUCAAGAUCUUGAAAUCAUAUACAGUGUUGGUUUUGCACAAGAUUGGCAAAGACUACGCGACCUAUGUGGCUUAAUGUAUGUUACCUGCAUAAUUGGAACUUCAGUGCAUUGCCAUAGAAAACUUCAUGACUUAUCGGUUGUAACUGGAGAUUAGUCACCUAGAAGACACAGUGGUUGCCUCAUGCUAAGUUCAGCCUUGAUGUUUGGAUAUUUCUCCAGAUCAAGGGAAUCACCCAAAAUUUUCAAAGCAGCAAGAUGUGCAUCUUGUAUGAUAUUUCCAUCUAUCUCUAACCGAGCAAUAGGAAACUCUG